GUCUACAGCCAUGCCACCCUGAACAAGCUCGAUGUCUGAUCUCAGAAGCUAAGUAGGGUCAAGCCUAGUUAGUAUUUGAAUGGGAGACCACCUAGGAAGACCAGAUGCUGCUGUAGGCA
rnacentral:rRNA from 1 species